rnacentral:rRNA from 1 species
AGGGAAUCUUCCACAAUGGACGCAAGUCUGAUGGAGCAACGCCGCGUGAGUGAAGAAGGUUUUCGGACCGUAAAGCUCUGUUGUUGGUGAAGAAGGAUAGAGGUAGUAACUGGCCUUUAUUUGACGGUAAUCAACCAGAAAGUCACGGCUAACUACGUGCCAGCAGCCGCGGUAAUACGUAGGUGGCAAGCGUUGUCCGGAUUUAUUGGGCGUAAAGCGAGCGCAGGCGGAAGAAUAAGUCUGAUGUGAAAGCCCUCGGCUUAACCGAGGAAUUGCAUCGGAAACUGUUUUCUUGAGUGCAGAAGAGGAGAGUAGAACUCCAUGUGUAGCGGUGGAAUGCGUAGAUAUAUGGAAGAAUACCAGUGGCGAAGGCGGCUCUCUGGUCUGCAACUGACGCUGAGGCUCGAAAGCAUGGGUAGCGAACAGGAUUAGAUACCCUGGUAGUCCAUGCCGUAACGAUGAGUGCUAAGUGUUGGGAGGCUUCCGCCUCUCAGUGCUGCAGCUAACGCAUUAAGCACUCCGCCUGGGGGAGUACGACCG